rnacentral:rRNA from 1 species
GACGAACGCUGGCGGCGUGCCUAAUACAUGCAAGUCGAACGCAGUGGGGACGGGUGAUUAACACGUGGGUAACCGCCCAUCAGAGGGGGUAACACUUGGAAACAGGUGCUAAACUGAUACUGAUGGAUGUACCCGCGGGGCAUUAGCUAGUUGGUGGGGUAACGGCUCACCAAGGCCACGAUGCAUAGCUGGCCUGAGAGGAUGAUUAGCCACACUGGGACUGAGACACGGCCCAGACUCCUACGGGAGGCAGCAGUAGGGAAUAUUGGGCAAUGGACGAAAGUCUGACCGAGCAACGCCGCGUGAGUGAAGAAGGUUUUCGGAUCGUAAAACUCUGUUGUUAGAGAAGCGGUAUCUAACCAGAAAGCCACGGCUAACUACGUGCCAGCCGCCGCGGUAAUUC